rnacentral:rRNA from 1 species
CGGGUGAGUAACACGUGAGAAUCUGCCCUCAGGAGGGGGAUAACGGCUGGAAACGGCCGCUAAUACCCCAUAUGCCGAGAGGUGAAAUGAAUUUCGCCUGAGGAUGAGCUCGCGUCUGAUUAGCUAGUUGGUGGGGUAAGAGCCUACCAAGGCUUCGAUCAGUAGCUGGUCUGAGAGGAUGAUCAGCCACACUGGGACUGAGACACGGCCCAGACUCCUACGGGAGGCAGCAGUGGGGAAUUUUCCGCAAUGGGCGAAAGCCUGACGGAGCAACGCCGCGUGAGGGAUGAAGGCCUCUGGGCUGUAAACCUCUUUUAUCAAGGAAGAAGAUCUGACGGUACUUGAUGAAUAAGCCACGGCUAAUUCCGUGCCAGCAGCCGCGGUAAUACGGGAGUGGCAAGCGUUAUCCGGAAUUAUUGGGCGUAAAGCGUCCGCAGGCGGCCUCGUAAGUCUGUCGUUAAAGCGUGGAGCUUAACUCCAUUUCGGCGAUGGAAACUGUGAGGCUUGAGUGUGGUAGGGGCAGAGGGAAUUCCCGGUGUAGCGGUGAAAUGCGUAGAUAUCGGGGAGAACACCAGUGGCGAAGGCGCUCUGCUGGGCCAUAACUGACGCUCAUGGACGAAAGCCAGGGGAGCGAAAGGGAUUAGAUACCCCUGUAGUCCUGGCCGUAAACGAUGAACACUAGGUGUCGGGGGAAUCGACCCCCUCGGUGUCGUAGCCAACGCGUUAAGUGUUCCGCCUGGGGGAGUACGCACGCAAGUGUGAAACUCAAAGGAAUUGACGGGGGCCCGCACAAGCGGUGGAGUAUGUGGUUUAAUUCGAUGCAACGCGAAGAACCUUACCAGGGUUUGACAUCCUGCGAAUCCCUUGGAAACGAGGGAGUGCCUUCGGGAACGCAGUGACAGGUGGUGCAUGGCUGUCGUCAGCUCGUGUCGUGAGAUGUUGGGUUAAGUCCCGCAACGAGCGCAACCCACGUCUUUAGUUGCCAGCAUUCAGUUGGGCACUCUAGAGAGACCGCCGGUGAUAAACCGGAGGAAGGUGUGGAUGACGUCAAGUCAUCAUGCCCCUUACAUCCUGGGCUACACACGUACUACAAUGCUACGGACAAAGGGCAGCAAACUCGCGAGAGCUAGCAAAUCCCAUAAACCGUGGCUCAGUUCAGAUCGUAGGCUGCAACUCGCCUACGUGAAG